AUGAAUAAAAAAUCCCGUCCAAGACCCUUUUACUCAACUGCAGAUAUUGCAAUUGUGACCUGAGCUUCGCAAUUGCAAAGCUCGCAAAUACAAAGAACUAUCGCAAUUGAAAAGUUCUCCACACUUCUGUUUCUAUCGCAAUUUCGAAGGUAAUGAUCGCAAUUGCGAUUAGGGACCUCUGCAAAUGCGACAAAAAAGACCGCGUUUGUGAUCACUCCCUUCCCAGAGUUUCUUCGCAAAUGCGAAGGUAUGUUCUCAAUUGCGAACUAUGUUGGCCCAGGUCUUCUUCGCAAUUGCGAUAAAGACCUAGCAAUUUCCAUGACUGUGAAGCUCGCAAAUGCUUGAUCUCGCAAUUUGCAAGAUCAGAGGCCUACUAUAGGUAUCAGCUGCAACAGUAGAUUUCUAAGUUCAAACUCACUCUGUAGCCUAUCCAAAACUUGCCCGAGCCCUGGGGGCUCCAAACUAAACAUGCGCACAAGCCUUAAAACGCCAUAAGAACUCGCUCAUGUGAUCAAAUUACCAAAAAACACCUAGAACUAUGAAUUCAACACCAAAACACAUGAAAUUUUCAAAAUAGUUUCAAACUUCCUAUUUUCUUAACCAAAGGUCCGAAUCACGUCAAUUCACUUCCAUUUUCACCAAAUUUCACAGAUAAGGUUCAACAAUUAUAACAAACCUCUACCGGGUUUGAACCAAAAUACGGGCCCGAUACCAACAAGUCCAAACAUUAUUCAAUUUUCAUAAACUAUUAUAUUUCCAGUUUAACAAUUUUCUUCAAUAAUUUAUUUCUCGGGCUAGGGACCUCGAAAUUUAAUUCCAGCAUACGCCCAAGUCUCAUAUUUUACCACGGACCCUACUGGACCGUCAAAUCACGAGUCUAGGUCUGUUUACAUAAAGUGUUGACUGAAGUCAACUUAAAUUAAUUUUAAAGGCAAACCUCAAUAUGUUUCUCAAAUUUUCAUAUAAGGCUUUCCAGAAGCACGCCCGGCUAUGUACGCAAAUCGAUGAGAAAGAAAAUAAGGUUUUCAAGGCCUCAGAACAAGGAAUCGGAUUCUAAAAUGAAAGAUGACCCUUUGAGUCAUCAUAGGAAUGCCCUCAAUGCAUGGAUAUCCUUAGGUGGCAACCAAUCUGCGACAACCUGAAUCUUCUGUUGGUCCAUCUUGAUUUGUCCUUCUCCUUCCUCGAUGACAUGUCAAUCUAUUUCUGGGUGAAUGAUCACUUAGAUAGAUUCACAUAUAAUUCGUGCUUCCGAAGUCGAGCUAAGACCUUCCACAUGUCUCCUAUUAUUUGACAAGUGUGGGUUUUGACCACUUAUUAGUACCUUGUUGCUUUAAUUUUAGUCCGAAAACAGUGAUUUUAUUUCCAAAUAUAAUAAAAUUGUGUGAAUUACACGCAUGUUGGAUGAUUGGAGCUCAAUGAAAAAAUCUAAUUCAAAAAGAAGUAUUACAUCUCAACAAGGCAAAAAGGAGAAAUGCAAGAAGAAGUGUGGUCUGCAGAUAAUCAUGCGGUCCGUAGAAAUAAGUGCGGCCACAGAUGAAGCCUUGAAGUCUCUGAGGAGUUUUGUAGAAGAGUGGUCCACAGUCCAAAUUAUGCAUUUUGCGGGUUGCAUUGAUAAAGUUUGAUAAGUUCAGAGAAGGUGAAGAAUGCGAAGUGUGAAGCCUCAUGAGAAUGCGGUCCACAAUCAAAAUGUGUGGCUGCAGAAGCUGAAGUGCAGGCACCGAGAUAAUUAUGCAGCCGCAGAUUUCCUCCUAAUGCAAAAGAAGAAAAAUGUCUGGUCCGCACAAGAAACUUUGUGGUCGCAGAACCUCGCGCAGGGCAUUUUUAUCAACAAAAUUGUAGACACUAUUAAUAGUCGAGAAAUACCAAUUUAUGGCAACUUUUG
rnacentral:lncRNA from 1 species